rnacentral:rRNA from 1 species
UACGUAGGGGGCAAGCGUUGUCCGGAUUUAUUGGGCGUAAAGAGCGUGUAGGCGGCCCUGUAAGUCCGUUGUGAAAGUCAAAGGCUCAACCUUUGAAAGCCGAUGGAUACUGCAGGGCUAGAGUCCGGAAGAGGCGAGUGGAAUUCCUGGUGUAGCGGUGGAAUGCGCAGAUAUCAGGAGGAACACCAAUAGCGAAGGCAGCUCGCUGGGACGGUACUGACGCUAAGGCGCGAAAGCGUGGGGAGCGAACAGG